AAAACGCAAACUCAACAGAGUAAACUCAAUACGAAACCUAUUUCAAUCCCUAAACAAAAUCUCUAUCUCCUUCAAACGCUGUCUCCAUCUCUCUGUCUCUGUCUCUCCUUCAAACGCAAAUUCAACCCCUAAACAAAUCUCUAUCUCCUUCAAACGCAAAUUCAACCCCUAAACAAAUCUCUAUCUCCUUCAAACGCUGUCUCUGUCUCUCUUCCCCUGCGACGGUAAACGAAUUCAACUAAGCUACAAACGCUUUGCCUCACAACCAACGGCUACAGGGCAGCCAAGUAGAUGAAUUUACAGGACAAGUCUGGAACUUUGGUAGAAGAAAGGGUGGUGAAAAUGGACAAAUAUAGCCAAGGCUUUGUGGUUGAGUUUCUAUUUCCUUUGAUAAUUUUGAGAAGCUGCCAAGGCUUUUGGUGUGGGCAUGGGAGGAAACCUUGCCGCUUUUACUUCAAAGUAGUUGUUUUCAUGGUUAUUUAUAGCUCCUGACAGCAAUGAUAUCUCCACAGCUAUACAGUUCAUCAAUAAGGCAAUGCCAUGGAUUACAUUGAUGGUCAUUGGCUGGGAAUAUGGUGCAAACAUGUUGACGAAGUACUUGGCAGAAGCUGGAGAGAAUACAUUGCUUACAGCUGCCAUGUGCAUAGACAAUCCAUUUGACUUAGAGGAGGCUACAAGGUCCUUUCCUUAUCACAUGGCCAUUGGUCAGAAGUUCACUGUUGGACUGAUAGAUAUUCUAAGAUCUAAUAAGGAAACCCCCAAAUCAAAAACCAUAGCCCCUUCCUAUCAAAAAAGAAAAAAAGAAGAAGAAGAAGGAAAACAAUAGCUUCUCAUCCGUUUCUCUCUCCAGUCUCUAUGCUUCGCCUUUAGUGCACCUUCUCCUUUGUCUCUGCUCCUAAUGAUGAAUUGGGAUUGAAGGGAGCAAAAUCAAGAUGCCGUGGACGUCCUCUUUUGAUUCAAAUUCAUAAAAGCUUCCUUACUCUCUUUCUCUCUCCAUGUGGCGUGAGGUCAAAUAUUUGCUUUCUCUGUUCUAAAUAACAAUUUAUAGAACUCAAUGUUUUAUGUUAAAUAAAUAUAUGAUGUACUCUUCUAUAUAAUGCAAAUUUGUUGUACUAUGUUCUUUCUCUACUCUUUUUGAGUCAUAGCAAAAGAAUUUGACAUUAGUAACUAUAUUCUAUUUAUUUAUUAUGAAAAUAAGAUUGUGAUCAUUA